CGACCUCAGAUCAGACGAGAUUACCCGCUAAAUUUAAGCAUAUCAAUAAGCGGUGGAAAAGAAACGAAAACGAAUUCUCCAAGUAGCGGCGAGCGAAACGAGAAAAGUCCAUACACCGAAGUCGGCGAGCAGUUGUGUUCGUCAACAGUGUGGUGUUAAAGGUGUCGUUGCAUGUGCUGAAAUCAGUUCGUAGGCUCCCUUGAUUGGGGCUUCAGAGCGGGUGCAGGACCCAUAACGAACGAUGUUUUGUGCAUGGUGUCGCGGCUCCUAAUCGAGUCGGGUUGCUUGAGACUGCAGCCCAAAGCGGGUGGUAAAUCUCACCCAAGACUAAAUAUUCGUACGAGACCGAUAGCGAACAAGUACCGCGAGGGAAAGUUGAAAAGAACUCUGAAGAGAGAGUUCAACAGGACGUGAAACCGUUGACAGGCAAACGGAUGGAGCUGACGGUGCAAUUUUGACCAAAUCAGUCGUCGCUGGGUUCGUUGGCGAAUGAAUCUUUUGCAAACUUGUUUGUGUAGAUUAUCUUUCGAUUCGAAUCUACGCACGGUGCACUUUUGGUCGAUCAGCGUCACGAGCACGUUCGCAAAUGUUUUGCUGACGACAGUAAUGCUGUUGUUGUUUUUAAAAGC
rnacentral:ncRNA from 1 species